rnacentral:rRNA from 2 species
UUAAGCGACUAAGCGUACACGGUGGAUGCCCUGGCAGUCAGAGGCGAUGAAGGACGUGCUAAUCUGCGAUAAGCGUCGGUAAGGUGAUAUGAACCGUUAUAACCGGCGAUUUCCGAAUGGGGAAACCCAGUGUGUUUCGACACACUAUCAUUAACUGAAUCCAUAGGUUAAUGAGGCGAACCGGGGGAACUGAAACAUCUAAGUACCCCGAGGAAAAGAAAUCAACCGAGAUUCCCCCAGUAGCGGCGAGCGAACGGGGAGGAGCCCAGAGCCUGAAUCAGUGUGUGUGUUAGUGGAAGCGUCUGGAAAGGCGCGCGAUACAGGGUGACAGCCCCGUACACAAAAAUGCACAUGCUGUGAGCUCGAUGAGUAGGGCGGGACACGUGGUAUCCUGUCUGAAUAUGGGGGGACCAUCCUCCAAGGCUAAAUACUCCUGACUGACCGAUAGUGAACCAGUACCGUGAGGGAAAGGCGAAAAGAACCCCGGCGAGGGGAGUGAAAAAGAACCUGAAACCGUGUACGUACAAGCAGUGGGAGCACGCUUAGGCGUGUGACUGCGUACCUUUUGUAUAAUGGGUCAGCGACUUAUAUUCUGUAGCAAGGUUAACCGAAUAGGGGAGCCGAAGGGAAACCGAGUCUUAACUGGGCGUUAAGUUGCAGGGUAUAGACCCGAAACCCGGUGAUCUAGCCAUGGGCAGGUUGAAGGUUGGGUAACACUAACUGGAGGACCGAACCGACUAAUGUUGAAAAAUUAGCGGAUGACUUGUGGCUGGGGGUGAAAGGCCAAUCAAACCGGGAGAUAGCUGGUUCUCCCCGAAAGCUAUUUAGGUAGCGCCUCGUGAAUUCAUCUCCGGGGGUAGAGCACUGUUUCGGCAAGGGGGUCAUCCCGACUUACCAACCCGAUGCAAACUGCGAAUACCGGAGAAUGUUAUCACGGGAGACACACGGCGGGUGCUAACGUCCGUCGUGAAGAGGGAAACAACCCAGACCGCCAGCUAAGGUCCCAAAGUCAUGGUUAAGUGGGAAACGAUGUGGGAAGGCCCAGACAGCCAGGAUGUUGGCUUAGAAGCAGCCAUCAUUUAAAGAAAGCGUAAUAGCUCACUGGUCGAGUCGGCCUGCGCGGAAGAUGUAACGGGGCUAAACCAUGCACCGAAGCUGCGGCAGCGACGCUGAUGCGUUGUUGGGUAGGGGAGCGUUCUGUAAGCCUGUGAAGGUGUGCUGUGAGGCAUGCUGGAGGUAUCAGAAGUGCGAAUGCUGACAUAAGUAACGAUAAAGCGGGUGAAAAGCCCGCUCGCCGGAAGACCAAGGGUUCCUGUCCAACGUUAAUCGGGGCAGGGUGAGUCGACCCCUAAGGCGAGGCCGAAAGGCGUAGUCGAUGGGAAACAGGUUAAUAUUCCUGUACUUGGUGUUACUGCGAAGGGGGGACGGAGAAGGCUAUGUUGGCCGGGCGACGGUUGUCCCGGUUUAAGCGUGUAGGCUGGUUUUCCAGGCAAAUCCGGAAAAUCAAGGCUGAGGCGUGAUGACGAGGCACUACGGUGCUGAAGCAACAAAUGCCCUGCUUCCAGGAAAAGCCUCUAAGCAUCAGGUAACAUCAAAUCGUACCCCAAACCGACACAGGUGGUCAGGUAGAGAAUACCAAGGCGCUUGAGAGAACUCGGGUGAAGGAACUAGGCAAAAUGGUGCCGUAACUUCGGGAGAAGGCACGCUGAUAUGUAGGUGAAGUCCCUCGCGGAUGGAGCUGAAAUCAGUCGAAGAUACCAGCUGGCUGCAACUGUUUAUUAAAAACACAGCACUGUGCAAACACGAAAGUGGACGUAUACGGUGUGACGCCUGCCCGGUGCCGGAAGGUUAAUUGAUGGGGUCAGCGCAAGCGAAGCUCUUGAUCGAAGCCCCGGUAAACGGCGGCCGUAACUAUAACGGUCCUAAGGUAGCGAAAUUCCUUGUCGGGUAAGUUCCGACCUGCACGAAUGGCGUAAUGAUGGCCAGGCUGUCUCCACCCGAGACUCAGUGAAAUUGAACUCGCUGUGAAGAUGCAGUGUACCCGCGGCAAGACGGAAAGACCCCGUGAACCUUUACUAUAGCUUGACACUGAACAUUGAGCCUUGAUGUGUAGGAUAGGUGGGAGGCUUAGAAGUGUGGACGCCAGUCUGCAUGGAGCCGACCUUGAAAUACCACCCUUUAAUGUUUGAUGUUCUAACGUUGACCCGUAAUCCGGGUUGCGGACAGUGUCUGGUGGGUAGUUUGACUGGGGCGGUCUCCUCCUAAAGAGUAACGGAGGAGCACGAAGGUUGGCUAAUCCUGGUCGGACAUCAGGAGGUUAGUGCAAUGGCAUAAGCCAGCUUGACUGCGAGCGUGACGGCGCGAGCAGGUGCGAAAGCAGGUCAUAGUGAUCCGGUGGUUCUGAAUGGAAGGGCCAUCGCUCAACGGAUAAAAGGUACUCCGGGGAUAACAGGCUGAUACCGCCCAAGAGUUCAUAUCGACGGCGGUGUUUGGCACCUCGAUGUCGGCUCAUCACAUCCUGGGGCUGAAGUAGGUCCCAAGGGUAUGGCUGUUCGCCAUUUAAAGUGGUACGCGAGCUGGGUUUAGAACGUCGUGAGACAGUUCGGUCCCUAUCUGCCGUGGGCGCUGGAGAACUGAGGGGGGCUGCUCCUAGUACGAGAGGACCGGAGUGGACGCAUCACUGGUGUUCGGGUUGUCAUGCCAAUGGCACUGCCCGGUAGCUAAAUGCGGAAGAGAUAAGUGCUGAAAGCAUCUAAGCACGAAACUUGCCCCGAGAUGAGUUCUCCCUGACCCUUUAAGGGUCCUGAAGGAACGUUGAAGACGACGACGUUGAUAGGCCGGGUGUGUAAGCGCAGCGAUGCGUUGAGCUAACCGGUACUAAUGAACCGUGAGGCUUAACCUU